AUUCUCACUUUGGCAGCAUAUAUACGAAAUUGGAAUGAUCCAGAGAUGAUGAGCAGGGCCCCUGAACGAGAAUGACACACAAAUUUGUGAGGCAUUCCAUAUUCUU
rnacentral:snRNA from 1 species